GGUGAGGUGGCAGAGCGGUUGAUGCGUGGGCCUGCAAAGCCUAUCUAAGGGGGUUCGACUCCCUCUCUCACCU
rnacentral:tRNA from 1 species